rnacentral:rRNA from 1 species
GACGAACGCUGGCGGCGUGCUUAACACAUGCAAGUCGAACGGAAAGGCCCUGCUUUUGUGGUAUGCCCGAGUGGCGAAAGGGUGAGUAACACGUGAGUAACCUGCCCUUGACUUUGGGAUAACUUCAGGAAACUAGGGCUAAUACCGGAUAGGAGCUCCUGCUGCAUGGUGGGGGUUGGAAAGUCUCGGCGGGUGGGGAUGGACUCGCGGCUUAUCAGCUUGUUGGUGGGGUAGUGGCUUACCAAGGCUUUGACGGGUAGCCGGCCUGAGAGGGUGACCGGCCACAUUGGGACUGAGAUACGGCCCAGACUCCUACGGGAGGCAGCAGUGGGGAAUAUUGCCCAAUGGGCGGAAGCCUGAUACGGCAACGCCGCGUGCGGGAUGACGGCCUUCGGGUUGUAAACCGCUUUCGCCUGUGACGAAGCGUGAGUGACGGUAAUGGGUAAAGAAGCACCGGCUAACUACGUG